GACGAACGCUGGCGGCGUGCUUAACACAUGCAAGUCGAACGAAGUGGCGAACGGGUGAGUAACGGGUAAUCAACCUGCCCUUCAGAGGGGGACAACAGUUGGAAACGACAGCUCAUACCGCAUAUUGCAGGAGGGGAAUGCGUCUGAUUAGCUAGUUGGAGGGGUAACGGCCGACCAAGGCGAUGAUCAGUUGCCGGUCUGAGAGGAUGAACGGCCACAUUGGGACUGAGACACGGCCCAGACUCCUACGGGAGGCAGCAGUGGGGAAUCUUCCGCAAUGGACGAAAGUCUGACGGAGCAACGCCGCGUGAGUGAUGACGGCCUUCGGGUUGUAAAGCUCUGUUAAUCGGGACGCGGUACCGGAAUAGAAAGCCACGGCUAACUACGUGCCAGCAGCCGCGGUAAUUC
rnacentral:rRNA from 1 species